AACAAGGUCGAAGAAUUCCCUAGCAACUAGCAGUGUAAUGGCAGUCUGAUCAGAGAUGUUUUUUCCAUGGAUGCAACCUAUGCCUAUUUGCAAUAUUUGACAAACUAAAGCAUGCGAUCAAUUGAAUGAUUAGUAAAUAAUAUCCAGUUUGGAGCAAUACACAGCCACUUUUGAAUUCACUUAGAGACAUCUUUGCUUGCCAACUGGGAUCAGCAGGUUCC
rnacentral:lncRNA from 1 species